CUCCCUGCGACCUGCGACUCCCUCCAUCGCCUCGACGUCCCCCGGGCCCCGCCCGUCCUCUACCCACUUCUACCAUCGCCUAGCCGUUGUCCCAUGCCCCGAUGUCGUACACCUUGAUUUCGUGAUUCGUCGCGCACCUCUUCGGCUCGCGCGGGCAUGAGACAGGCCGCAUCACUUCAGUCAUGAGUUCCGAAGAUACAACUGAUACAACUGACAAUGCGGCGGCGGCGACGGCGGCGGCAGCUGAUUCCUUUGGCGUAGCUGCACAAACAAAUUGGGUCCAAUUUGAGGAGGAGGCAGAUUCGAAAGAAGCUACCAAUGUCGAAAGAAAAGCCGGCAACAGUAGCGCGCCCGCCGUAAUAAAGCCCGAGUCGGUUACUGUACAAGUUGACAAAAUCGGCAAAAGUAUUGACCCACCUGAUAUUAAUAAUAAGAAAACCAAUGAGUACAGAGGUGCUGUGAUAGCAACCGAAUCCGUCCAGAUUAACUUAGAUAGAUCAGGUUUAAGUCGUUCUAUCACGUCCGAGACUCCGAAUCUUAAAUUACCGUCUGAUGUUCGAACGUCAGAAGUCAAGAGCGCUUCUUUGAAGACCAUUGACCUGAGGGAUGUGUCCAAUGGAAGAAAUGCACCGAGUAACGUUAUCAAUACGUCGAUUGGAAACAUCAGGCAGGGUUUUGCCAAUGGCGAUACCAUAGUUACUCUUCUGCCGGUAAAUACUAAGUGGCCGUGGAUUACUCCGGCCAGAUUCAGACCGGAAUUGGUGCCGGAGGAAUUGAUGGCACAAGGAUUAACCCUUACAGUAGAAGAUUAUGUUCACAUAAUGGAAUUACUUGUGAACGAUGUACGCUUCAAUAUGUAUAACAUAUGCUACAAGAGGAUUCUCGUCCUUUGGAUAUUCACCGCCUUCGUUGUGCUGCUUGGUUUAUUGUUCUCUGGUGUGACUGGCCUCACUUUAUUCGGACUAGGUGUUAUGUGGUUAAUCCUGAAUGCAGCUGCAAUAUUCUUCUGCAUGUUUAUCAAAAUAAAGCUCAAUCACAACCUUGAGAAAUGUAUGGCUCAAGUUAACAAACAUUUAUUAAGACAUAAAAUAUUAUUGGGAUUAGAUGAUAGAGGAAAAAUCUCCUGCCACAAAGUUAAUCUGUGUUUCAUAUACUUUGACACUACGGAUUGCGUUAAAAAGUUGCAAGAAGUAAUAGAACGAGAAGAACGCGAAGGUAGAAUAAUUGGUGGCGAUGAUGCAAAUGAUAUAAAUCGACAACGAGAAUUACAGCAACGUAUGGACAUUGACGACAGUGACAUUGUUAUACAAGGCAGCACCACUACAAGAAUCUCUCGUAAACAGCCGGACGGAAGAUGAUGAAUCUCAAUAUAUUACCUCAUCCGCAUAUCAUCAGCACGUAAUAAUAAUUUCUAAUAUUAUGGUAUCCACCAGGAUUUACAUGGUGUGCCUACCUUAGUGAACCUGUGACCCGAUUUGACAUGGUACCAAGUUUUUCCC
rnacentral:misc_RNA from 1 species